GGAACUGUAAGUCCAAUUAAACCUCUUUUUCUUUCUAGUCUCAGGUAUGUCUUUAUCAGUAGCAUGAAAAUGCACUAAUAUACCCCUAGUCACAGAAAGGGUCUAACUUGAUGUCUCAAUCCCAAGUCCCAAACUGGCCCAGCUUGAGACAGACCUUCCCCUGGUCUGGUCAGCUAGGCUUUAGCAUCUGGGUCCAAUGUGACUGUCAGGAUACACUCUCUGGCUGGGGAUUUGUGGGGAGGGGAUAUGUUAAUAUUUUAUUGCUGCUAUAACAAAUGAUCACAUUGUGGCUUAACCAAUGCGAAUUUGUUAUCCUACAGUUAUAGAGGUCAAAGUCUAAUGUGGGUUUCACUGGACUAAAAUCAAGGAGCUGGAAGGGCUGUGUUCCAUUCUGGAGACUCUGAGGGAGAAUCCACUUCUUUGCCUUCUCCAGCUCCUAGAGGCUGCCCACGUUCUUUGGUUCACGGCCCUACACUCCUUCUCCGAAGCCAGGCCUGCUCUGGUGAUAUUCCAAGGGUCUACAGAAAUUAAGAAAACAGAACCUUUUCCCCUUGAGGAUCUAACCUAGUAGGAGACACACCAAUAUCCAAACACAAGGCAAUGUUCUUCUGAAAGCUUCUAGUCCUUUCUGCCUCUUUUAAGGUACUUAUCCCACCCUGUUCACCCCAUUUUACAGGCAUCAACUCACAACAAUGUGAUCAACAGUCACCAAAGUUCAAGGCCUCUCUCUCCCCUCCUUCUCCUGGCCCCCAGGUUGGGAAGUUUGGUGCAACUUCUUCCCAGGGCUGACUUCGUCCACCCCAGGAGUUUCAUAAAGCACCUCAUAAAACCCCAUUUACUGGUUUCCCCAACAUAAUGGCAGAAAUAAACUGCUUGAUACACACUUGGAAAUCCCCUUCAGAGAACGUGUGCAUUGUUUUGUUGGCAUGGCAUCUUGGUUUCCAACUUGAAUUUCCACCACCUUUGCUUUUUUGAUAGUAUCUUCCAUGAUUAAGAUGGCUGAAUCCUCCACUUUUUAUUGAGUUGGACAGCAAAUCACAGAAUAAAUGCUUUCCCUUGCGCUUUAAAAGGAUUUAAUAGGAAAAUAUUUUUCCUACAUCCUGUUUCAAGGGGAAAAUGUGAUUUUAAGGGGCAUUUUAUAGUUCACAACAGGAUAUUGAAGGGCAUUUGGUUUUGCUUAGUUUAUUAUGACUGUGUUUCUCCAGCAUGAAGUAGUGUUUUUUGUGAUUAUUUAGAUUAGUGUGAUUAUGGUAGGUAGGCAGCCAUAGAAUUAUGGAAAUUUAGUACUGGAAAGAACCUUAAAUAUCAUCCAGGCCAAACUCCCUCAUUUUUCAGAUGAGAAAACAAAUGACUUGUCCAAGAUCACAUGUUGAGUUGCAGGGGAAAAUGAGAUUAGAAUCUUUAUCUUCCAACUGUUUAAUGUCCCCCAAAUAGUUCUGUGGCGAGAGUAGGAGUAAGGAAAGUAGCAUUUAUUCGAAGAGAUCCCUAUGUAUCUGUAAGCCCUUCUGAAUAUGAGAAUUGGAGUAACUAGUAUGUGUGGAUUUGUGUGGAUUUCAUUCAUUCAUUCAUCCAUUAAGCUAGCCAGUCAGUGAAUCAUAUUCUAAACAUAUUUCUAGUGUCUACUCAGUAGGUGACACGUGCUAGGUGCUGAAAAUAUAAAAGCAAAGCUGAAGUCCCCGCCUUGGAGCAAGUCAAGGAGUAAUGAAAAUGGACAGACAAGUGUAUACAGACAUAAUGAAACAUAAAUGUGAUAAUAGAGUUUGUUAUUUUUCCAUAGCAGCUUCAAAGCAUGAAAUUAAAAAGCUACAGGACAUGAUCAGCACUCCAGAAAUAGAGUUGGAGAGAUGCUUUCCUUGUGGUCUAUUUCUGGCCCUUUCAUUAUCUCUGUCUUGAUGGAACUCUAUGGAGCAGGAACCACCUGUUAGCCUGGCAUUGUGGCAAGAGCCUCAGUUCUGUGUCAGACAAACUUGGGUUCAAAUCCCAGUCACUUAUUAGGAAUGGGUUCUUGCGAGGUUAUUUCCUCAUCUGUGAAAAAAGAUAAAAACACAUCCA